CUCUCUUUCCUCCUCCUCUGCCUCCUGUUGACUCUGCCGGCCUCGGGACUUGGAACCAUAGUCCGUGUCAUAGUAAAGUUUUUUCCUCUGACCCCACGACAAACUGGGAUCCACAGAGGCCUCAGCUUCACUUUGCACGGAGCUCCCACCAUCAUCAUCGGCAUUCUCCUCCUCCUCCUCCUCCCCCGCAUUCCCUCCAUCUUCGUCGUCCUCAUCGUCCAUAUCUAGGGCUAGCACCUCCUCCU
rnacentral:lncRNA from 1 species